GACGAACGCUGGCGGCGUGCCUAAUACAUGCAAGUCGAGCGAUGAAGCUUGGUGCUUGCACCAAUUUGAAGAGCAGCGGACGGGUGAGUAACGCGUGGGGAAUCUGCCUUUGAGCGGGGGACAACAUUUGGAAACGAAUGCUAAUACCGCAUAACAACUUUAAACAUAAGUUUCAAGUUUGAAAGAUGUAAUUGCAUCACUCAAAGAUGAUCCCGCGUUUUAUUAGCUAGUUGGUGAGGUAAAGGCUCACCAAGGCGAUGAUACAUAGCCGACCUGGGAGGGUUGACGGGCACAAUGGGAAUGGGACAAGGCCCCAACUCCCACGGGGAGCAACAGUAGGGGAACUUUGGAAAAAGGGGGAAGGCUGACCGAACAAAGCCGCGGUGGUGGAGGAAGGUUUCGGAUCGUAAAACUCUGUUGGUAGGGAAGAACGAUGGUGAGAGUGGAAAGCUCAUCACGUGACGGUAACUACACAGAAAGCGACGGCUAACUACGUG
rnacentral:rRNA from 1 species